UCCACUUGGCGUUCACUUCAACCAAAUCCAGACUGAGGUUUGGAGGACCAGAGGUCAGAGGUCAGUUAGUGUUCACACCUCAGCAACCGGACUGGACUUUGACUAGGCAGAUGGACUGGAGUUGGGAUAAGGUGGACUGGAUGUUCUGGUUAAGGUGGACUGGAUGUUCUGGUUAAGGUGGACUGGAUGUCUUAGUUAAGGUGGACUGUCGGGUUAAGGCGGACUGGAUGUUCGGGUUAAGGUAGACUGGAUGUCCUGGAUAAGGUGGACUGGAUGUUGUGGUUAAGGUGGACUGUCGGGUUAAGGUGGACCGGAUGUCGUGGUUAAGGUGGACUGUCGGGUUAAGGUGGACCCGAUGUCCUGGUUAAGGUGGACUGGAUGUUCUGGUUCUGGUCGGGUUCUGCAGAUGGAUUCCUGGAGGUGAGUGAGAGCUGAGCGGUUCUGUUGGGAUGAGAAUCCCAUCAGAGCAAUCCGGACCGGGUCUCCGCCUGCUCCGGCCGCCCGGCGGUUCCGAUGUGUUUCCCAGACCCGGAGCGCUGAGCGGCGGGUCAGCCAGGGAAACUGGUGACUCAGCGCUCCCAGUGGACCCAUUGAUGGCUUUACUGGGAUUGGUGGUCCGUCCAGUCCAGACCUUCAGGCCGUUAAAGGGACAUUCUGUGAUUUCUGCUCUUCCUGCUGCUGACGGCCUCGGCCACGCUGACGGAUUAAAGCAAAGCUCUGUUUGUCCUCUCUGGGCUCCCGUCCCAUAAAUACAAGCGGGUUCGUUUACAUAUCUGCAGGUUUCACUGCCGCUCUUCAUCACUCUUUCUCUUCCUCAGCUCUAUUUAUGUUCUCGUCCUCAGCAGUAACUUUCCUUCUCCUCAUUCUCCUGAUUUACGACCAAAACACAUUUUUACUGCCAAAGUUUCACAACCAGAAAAAAACUCACUCUGUUUUCUCUUGUCUUUCUUUCUUUGAUUCUUCUGUUUCUCUCCUUCUGUGUUUGUAACGCCCCGCUCCCGUCACAAUUUACUGUUGCAGAGGUCAGAGGUCAUGGCUGCCGCUCCGCCUGCCGUUGUUUUCCUGUUUUGUUUCCUGUCUGGUCCAGACGGGCCGCGGGUUUCUCAGAACCGGUCCGACCCGCUGGGACCAGAACGUCUCCGGGUUCCGGGUCAGAACCAGAACCAGAAUCUGUUCUAGAUGCUCUGAACUAAUCUAUGAAUUAUUCUAUAAAUGUAUCUUAAUCUGUUUAGACUCUUAUUUUGAAAGGCAGUUGCAUUACAUGAUUCUAGUUUAGUUUAUAUAUUAGUAAUAAAAUAUUAAAUCUGUUAAGGGUUUGCCGUACAGACUGAAGCUAAUUAAAGGUCUAUAAUAUUCAAAUUUAUGAAUCUGCAGUUUUGCUGCUGAUUCGGCUUUAAUGAAACGUUUUAUUGUGAAAUCGAUGAUUUGCUGCGUUUAUUUGCUUUCAACAUGUUUAUUAAAACAUGUUGAAAUAUUUAUGAAAACCAGGUUUGUAGUUUUUCCUGCGUAUUUCUGAACUCUUCUUGUCUGAAGCUGAAGCUUUGUUCAUUCGUCUGCUGGAGAUUAUCUGCAGAUUAUUAAUCCAGGAGCUGAAACGUUAAGAUUAAUAUUCUCUGCAUUAAUCAGUGAAUUAAAAAGCUGAGGAAUCGUUCACUGAACUGUUCAGACUCACUGAACUGUUCAGACUCAUUUCCCUUAAAGCUCCGCCUACUUCCUGCCUUCUGAUUGGACGGCGUCAGGAAGCGGUGAUUCUGGGCGUCACUGUUAGGUGGCGCUGUGGUUCUGCUCAGUGAAACGAUUCAUUUCCUCCCAGCUGAAGCUUCGUCCAGAUAAAUGAUGAAUCCUCAGACCAACGGGUCGUUUUCUCCGGAUUCAGGUUUAUGUAAUAAAUGUGACGCUGCUCCUUUAAGACGGAUGUUGUGAUUGGCUGCAGCCGUUUCUCCUUCAAACCGCAGGAAUCCCCUCAAACAACAGAGCUGGAAACUUUGUGCCGCUGGACGCCGUCCCAUCAGGAAGCAACAAACUGAGGCUCUGCAGAGAUCAUCACUGCGUGUGUGUGUGUGUGUGUGUGUGUGUGUGUGUGUGUGCGUGUGUGUGUGUGGGUGUGUGUGGGUGUGUGUGUGUGUGUGUGUGUGUGUGUGGGUGUGUGUGUGUGUGUGUGUGUGUGUGUGUGUGUGUGUGCUGUAGUUACAUAUUUACUGCAGAUUCGGUGCAGCUGAAGGGCCAGUUGGGACGUUUCACCUCGCUUCACCCUGGAAGCAGCGUUUUGAUUUUAUUUAGUUUUUUAUGAAAGGAAGCUGAAAGUGAGGCGGUCAUGUGAUGAGGCAGCAGCCGAGGUCACAUGACCCCCUGGGGGUCAUCGGGAGGAUUUUCAACACCAUUUGUCCAGGCUGAUUUAUGCCGAUGGCUGUUUGGGCCUUAAAGGGGAAGUUUUUAUUCAAAACGGCAGAUCAGGAGGAUUCAGACUUUAACGGCACAGAAAGGGAAACAAGUUUUCCAGAAAAACAAGAAUUGAUCCAUAAAAACAAGAAAUGAUCCAGAAAAACAAGAAUUGAUCCAGAAAAACAAGAAUUGAUCCA